GAUGAACGCUGGCGGUAUGCUUAACACAUGCAAGUCGAACGGUCUCUUCGGAGAUAGUGGCGGACGGGUGAGUAACGCGUGAGAAUCUGGCUUCAGGUCGGGGACAACCACUGGAAACGGUGGCUAAUACCGGAUAUGCCGAGAGGUGAAAGGCUUGCUGCCUGAAGAUGAGCUCGCGUCUGAUUAGCUAGUAGGUGUGGUAAAAGCGCACCUAGGCGACGAUCAGUAGCUGGUCUGAGAGGAUGAUCAGCCACACUGGGACUGAGACACGGCCCAGACUCCUACGGGAGGCAGCAGUGGGGAGUUUUCCGCAAUGGGCGAAAGCCUGACGGAGCAAUACCGCGUGAGGGAGGAAGGCUCUUGGGUUGUAAACCUCUUUUCUCAGGGAA
rnacentral:rRNA from 1 species